GGAUGCGAUCAUACCAGCACUAAAGCACCGGAUCCCAUCAGAACUCCGAAGUUAAGCGUGCUUGGGUAAGAGUAGUACUAGGAUGGGUGACCUCCUGGGAAGUCCUCGUGUUGCAUUCCC
rnacentral:rRNA from 1 species